rnacentral:rRNA from 1 species
GAUGAACGCUGGCGGCGUGCCUAAUACAUGCAAGUCGAGCGAACGGACGAGAAGCUUGCUUCUCUGAUGUUAGCGGCGGACGGGUGAGUAACACGUGGAUAACCUACCUAUAAGACUGGGAUAACUUCGGGAAACCGGAGCUAAUACCGGAUGAUAUUUUGAACCGCAUGGUUCAAAAGUGAAAGACGGUCUUGCUGUCACUUAUAGAUGGAUCCGCGCUGCAUUAGCUAGUUGGUAAGGUAACGGCUUACCAAGGCAACGAUGCAUAGCCGACCUGAGAGGCUGAUCGGCCACACUGGAACUGAGCCACGGUCCAGACUCCUACGGGAGGCAGCAGUAGGGAAUCUUCCGCAAUGGGCGAAAGCCUGACGGAGCAACGCCGCGUGAGUGAUGAAGGUCUUCGGAUCGUAAAACUCUGUUAUUAGGGAAGAACAUAUGUGUAAGUAACUGUGCACAUCUUGACGGUACCUAAUCAGAAAGCCACGGCUAACUACGUG